CGCAUCUGUGCAUGCAGCAUAUCAAUAAGCGGAGGAAAAGAAACUAACAAGGAUUCCCUUAGUGACGGCGAGUGAAGCGGGAAGAGCUCAAAUUUGAAAUCUUCAAGGUUUUACCUUGACGAAUUGUAGUUUAAAGAAGUGUUUUCUGUUGAAGUUUUGGUAAAAGUUCUUUGGAAUAGGACAUCAUAGAGGGUGAGAAUCCCGUAUUUGACCAUUAUUUUCAGCUGUGUGAUACACUUUCAAAGAGUCGGAUUGUUUGGGAAUGCAGUCCAAAAUGGGUGGUAAAUUUCAUCUAAAGCUAAAUAUUGGCGAGAGACCGAUAGCGAACAAGUACCGUGAGGGAAAGAUGAAAAGAACUUUGAAAAGAGAGUUAAACAGUACGUGAAAUUGUCAAAAGGGAAGCGUUUGAUCACCAGUGUUGUUUUCUCGAAAAUCAAUUAAAAAGAGUUUGAUUUUGUUGUGUAUUGACCUUAACAGCUUGCAUUUCAAUUUUCUUGCUUUUUUUAAUGCACUUUUCGUUUAACAAGUCAACAUCAGUUUCUUUUGUUGUAAAAAGGUCAUUGGAAGGUGGCUUUCUUUUCGGAGAAAGUGUUUAUAGCCUUUGACUCCUGCAAUCGGAGAGACUGAGGUCUGCAGCGUAGAUCCUUCGGGGUUAGAUACAUUUGUGCUAAGUUAUAGCUUUUUAUAGACAACUUGUUGACUAUGAUUAGUCUUGUAGCUUACUCGCUUUUGCUAUUUUACCUACGCUUAGGAUGUUGACACACGCGCGUGCUCG
rnacentral:rRNA from 1 species